GUACAGUAAUACACAGCCAUGUCUUCAGUUUUCAGUCUGUUCAUUUGCAGGUAGAGCUUGUUCUUGGCAUUGUCUCUGGAGAUGGUGAAUCAGCCCUUCACAGAGUUGGGGUAGUAUGUUUCAUAACCACCAUC